CCUACGGGUGGCAGCAGUGAGGAAUAUUGGUCAAUGGACGAGAGUCUGAACCAGCCAAGUAGCGUGACGGAUGACUGCCCUAUGGGUUGUAAACUUCUUUUAUAUGGGAAUAAAAUGUUCCACGUGUGGGAUUUUGUAUGUACCAUAUGAAUAAGGAUCGGCUAACUCCGUGCCAGCAGCCGCGGUAAUACGGAGGAUCCGAGCGUUAUCCGGAUUUAUUGGGUUUAAAGGGAGCGUAGGUGGAUUGUUAAGUCAGUUGUGAAAGUUUGCGGCUCAACCGUAAAAUUGUAGUUGAAACUGGCAGUCUUGAGUACAGUAGAGGUGGGCGGAAUUCGUGGUGUAGCGGUGAAAUGCUGAGAUAUCACGAAGAACUCCGAUUGCGAAGGCAGUUCACUGGACUGCAACUGACACUGAGGCUCGAAAGUGUGGGUAUCAAACAGGAUUAGAUACCCUAGUAGUC
rnacentral:rRNA from 1 species